rnacentral:rRNA from 1 species
ACAUACGACCAUAGCCUCUAGAGAACUCGGGAUCCCGUCCGCUCUCCCAUAGAUAAACUAGAGAGCGCUAGAUUAGUAGUUGGGUCGGUGACGACCAGCGAAUCCCUAGUGUUGUAUGUU